rnacentral:rRNA from 1 species
AUUGAACGCUGGCGGCAUGCCUUACACAUGCAAGUCGAACGGCAGCACGGGAGCAAUCCUGGUGGCGAGUGGCGAACGGGUGAGUAAUAUAUCGGAACGUGCCCAGUCGUGGGGGAUAACGCAGCGAAAGCUGUGCUAAUACCGCAUACGAUCUAUGGAUGAAAGCGGGGGAUCGCAAGACCUCGCGCGAUUGGAGCGGCCGAUAUCAGAUUAGCUAGUUGGUGGGGUAAAGGCCCACCAAGGCGACGAUCUGUAGCUGGUCUGAGAGGACGACCAGCCACACUGGAAUUGAGACACGGUCCAGACUCCUACGGGAGGCAGCAGUGGGGAAUUUUGGACAAUGGGCGCAAGCCUGAUCCAGCAAUGCCGCGUGCAGGAUGAAGGCCUUCGGGUUGUAAACUGCUUUUGUACGGAACGAAACGGUCCUUUCUAAUACAGGGGGCUAAUGACGGUACCGUAAGAAUAAGCACCGGCUAACUACGUGCCAGCCGCCGCCGUAAUAC